UAGGGAAUCUUCCACAAUGGGCGCAAGCCUGAUGGAGCAACGCCGCGUGAGUGAAGAAGGUCUUCGGAUCGUAAAACUCUGUUGUUAGAGAAGAACGUGCAGGAGAGUAACUGUUCUUGUAUUGACGGUAUCUAACCAGAAAGCCACGGCUAACUACGUGCCAGCAGCCGCGGUAAUACGUAGGUGGCAAGCGUUGUCCGGAUUUAUUGGGCGUAAAGGGAACGCAGGCGGUCCUUUAAGUCUGAUGUGAAAGCCUUCGGCUUAACCGAAGAAUUGCAUUGGAAACUGGAGGACUUGAGUGCAGAAGAGGAGAGUGGAACUCCAUGUGUAGCGGUGAAAUGCGUAGAUAUAUGGAAGAACACCAGUGGCGAAAGCGGCUCUCUGGUCUGUAACUGACGCUGAGGUUCGAAAGUGUGGGUAGCAAACAGG
rnacentral:rRNA from 1 species